AACGAACGCUGGCGGCAUGCCUAACACAUGCAAGUCGAACGAGACCUUCGGGUCUAGUGGCGCACGGGUGCGUAACGCGUGGGAACCUGCCCUUAGGUUCGGAAUAACUCCCCGAAAGGGGUGCUAAUACCGGAUAAUGUCUUCGGACCAAAGAUUUAUCGCCUUUGGAUGGGCCCGCGUUGGAUUAGCUAGUUGGUAGGGUAAAAGCCUACCAAGGCGACGAUCCAUAGCUGGUCUGAGAGGAUGAUCAGCCACACUGGGACUGAGACACGGCCCAGACUCCUACGGGAAGCAGCAGUGGGGAAGAUUGGACAGUGGGCGAAAGCCUGAUCCAGCAAUGCCGCGUGAGUGAUGAAGGCCUUAGGGUUGUAAAGCUCUUUUACCCGGGAUGAUAAUGACAGUACCGGGAGAAUAAGCUCCGGCUAACUCCGUG
rnacentral:rRNA from 1 species